UUAUACGACUCUCGGCAACGGAUAUCUUGGCUCUCGCAUCGAUGAAGAACGUAGCGAAAUGCGAUACUUGGUGUGAAUUGCAGAAUCCCGCGAACCAUCGAGUCUUUGAACGCAAGUUGCGCCCGAGGCUAACCGGCUGAGGGCACGCCUGCCUG
rnacentral:rRNA from 1 species